GGCGUAGGUGGCUUUUCAAGUCAGGUGUAAAAUCUCCCCGCUCAACGGGGAGGGAUCAUCCGAUACUGUUAAGCUUGAGUGCAGCAGAGGGAAGCGGAAUUCCCGGUGUAGCGGUGAAAUGCGUAGAUAUCGGGAAGAACACCAGUGGCGAAGGCGGCUUCCUGGGCUGUUUCUGACACUGAGGCCCGAAAGCGUGGGGAGCGAACA
rnacentral:rRNA from 1 species